rnacentral:tRNA from 1 species
GGGGUUGUGGCUCAGUGGUAGAGCACUCAUCUAGCAUGUGCGAGGCCCUGGGUUCAAUCCUCAGCACCACA